rnacentral:rRNA from 1 species
UACGUAGGGUGCAAGCGUUGUCCGGAAUUAUUGGGCGUAAAGAGCUCGUAGGCGGCUUGUCACGUCGGGUGUGAAAGCCCGGGGCUUAACCCCGGGUCUGCAUUCGAUACGGGCUAGCUAGAGUGUGGUAGGGGAGAUCGGAAUUCCUGGUGUAGCGGUGAAAUGCGUAGAUAUCGUAAGGAAGACCAGUGGCGAAGGCGGGUCUCUGGACAGUUCCUGACACUGAGGCACGAAGGCCAGGGGAGCAAACGGG